rnacentral:rRNA from 1 species
AUGGAUAGCGGGCAGAUCUCGUCCGUGGGCAGGGAGUUGGAGAUGGGCAGGGGAUCCGGGAAACAGCAGUCUGAGAUAUCUAUGCUGAUGGAGGAGAUCCUGUCCCUGCAGAGGGAGCGCCAAGAUCUGGCCGGUUCUCUUACUCCCAGCAUUUCUUACUGGAGGGAAAGGGUCUCUCCAACAGCAACAGAGUGGAUGGUCGCUGGAAGGGGAACCAUGGCCGCGAGCAUUAUCAAACCAGCCUCCAGUAUCCUCCAGUCCGGCUCAGAGCAGGUACAUUUACCCCACGCUGUUAGAGACGUCCAGAAAGAACUCGGGAACUACUUCGAUUUUGUCCUCCAAGACAUAGAGCACUUGGGUCACCGGAUGCUAUCUACCUCACAUUUUCUUUGGAGUUCCCGUGCCCCAAUCUCCUCGUGCCAGGCCGACGAGCUGGUUAGGACAACAUCCAAAUUAAUGCAAAUCUCUACGGAUAUCUACGAUGCUGGGGUGGACAAGAGUAAGGAGGAUGAGAAGAAGCAGAGGAAGAAGCACAAGGAGGUGGAAGAAGAUACCACCAAGAAGAUGGAAAGGAAGAGGGAGGAGGAGCAAAAGAAGAUGGGAUGGAACAAGGAUAAUCAGGCUGAACUGGAGGAGAGUAGGAAGAAGGCUGAGUUGAUGCGGUCCCAUGAAUUCUUUCGUCUCUCAUCCAAUGUCAGGGAGAAGCCCAACCAUUACAAAAAUGAGUUGGCGAUGAUGUUUACAGAGGACGACGAGAAGGAGUAUGAGAGGGAGAUGGAGGCAGAGAGGCAGGCGGAGAUGGAGAGGAAGCAGAGGAAGCAGAAGAAGAAGCAGCAGCAGAUUGUUGUGGAGCAGGGCGCUGACCAGAACAGAACAAAGUCCCCAAUGGAGCUUCUCAAAGAGGAUAUGGAUACCGAGCUGCGACUCUUUGCCCGCCACCGUGAGUACUGGGAAGAUACAAACAUCAGCAAGACCGGACAGUGCGGUCGGUUCGAAGAUAACACCACUUUGAGUCCUAUGCAGUUUACACACUACACACCCGGUAUCACCCUGCCCCCUGCUGCUGUCACUGGGACAACCGUUCAGAUCUACUCCUUCAAAAUUACUCGACUGCACAAUGACCUCAAAUGGCCACUCUAUGUGUACGGUGAGGUCGCUGCCCGGGACACCGUGGACCGCAACCGCAAUCUUCUCUUCUGUCGGUCAGAGUUUAGGGGCCAAGUACUCACUGAAAAUGACUCUUCCCUAUGCUUGACUGGCCCUUCUCGUGCAAUUGUAGCGGAGGAUCCUGUUGACUUCGAAGUUGAACUAAGAAUUAUUGAGGGCGAUGAUGAGAUCAAAGACAGAGUAUUGAUGAGUCUUAGCAAGCGUUACGACGGUGCAGAGCAACCUUUAUGCUUCCAUGGCUCCAUGUGUAGUGCAGAGUUGAGCCUUGGGCGACUUGCUGCAACGGUCCAGGCAACUAUCGUGGGGGUUCGUGUUGGUGAAGGGAGGUGGCCUUUUGAAUUCGGAGGCCGAGUUACUUGCUCCUUGUAUUCUGCCGAGGUUGAUGAUCACUUGUGUGAUGAAGUUGUUUUGCUUGAUUCCGCUGAAAAAAUUCCUGAAGAUGGUUUAGAUGGGUAUAUUUCUCUUUCAAGGAGUGUUGUGUCAGUACAAUUGCAAGGACGGCUGAAAGUUAGCAUACAAGCAUACGGGAGAUCUGAACCUCCAGUUGACGUUGAAUUCCAUCCCCAGGAUUGCAACAUAACUAUGGGUAGUUGUUCUGUCUAUGGCACUACGGUGGACAUCACGGUUGCUUGGUCCCGGCUUGUCCGGGACAAGAUGGAUUUACUAAUUGAGGGUUAUUCUACCCAGGCGUAG